rnacentral:rRNA from 1 species
AUGAACGCUGGCGGCGUGCCUAAUACAUGCAAGUCGAGCGAACAGACGAGGAGCUUGCUCCUCUGACGUUAGCGGCGGACGGGUGAGUAACACGUGGAUAACCUACCUAUAAGGCUGGGAUAACUUCGGGAAACCGGAGCUAAUACCGGAUAAUAUAUUGAACCGCAUGGUUCAAUAGUGAAAGACGGUUUUGCUGUCACUUAUAGAUGGAUCCGCGCCGCAUUAGCUAGUUGGUAAGGUAACGGCUUACCAAGGCGACGAUGCGUAGCCGACCUGAGAGGGUGAUCGGCCACACUGGAACUGAGACACGGUCCAGACUCCUACGGGAGGCAGCAGUAGGGAAUCUUCCGCAAUGGGCGAAAGCCUGACGGAGCAACGCCGCGUGAGUGAUGAAGGUCUUCGGAUCGUAAAACUCUGUUAUUAGGGAAGAACAAAUGUGUAAGUAACUAUGCACGUCUUGACGGUACCUAAUCAGAAAGCCACGGCUAACUACGUG